rnacentral:rRNA from 1 species
GAUGAACGCUGGCGGCGUGCCUAAUACAUGCAAGUCGAGCGAACAGACGAGGAGCUUGCUCCUCUGACGUUAGCGGCGGACGGGUGAGUAACACGUGGAUAACCUACCUAUAAGACUGGGAUAACUUCGGGAAACCGGAGCUAAUACCGGAUAAUAUAUUGAACCGCAUGGUUCAAUAGUGAAAGACGGUUUUGCUGUCACUUAUAGAUGGAUCCGCGCCGCAUUAGCUAGUUGGUAAGGUAACGGCUUACCAAGGCAACGAUGCGUAGCCGACCUGAGAGGGUGGUCGGCCACACUGGAACUGAGACACGGUCCAGACUCCUACGGGAGGCAGCAGUAGGGAAUCUUCCGCAAUGGGCGAAAGCCUGACGGAGCAACGCCGCGUGAGUGAUGAAGGUCUUCGGAUUGUAAAACUCUGUUAUUAGGGAAGAACAAAUGUGUAAGUAACUAUGCACGUCUUGACGGUACCUAAUCAGAAAGCCACGGCUAACUACGUG